rnacentral:rRNA from 1 species
GGGGAAUAUUGCGCAAUGGGGGAAACCCUGACGCAGCAACGCCGCGUGAAGGAAGAAGGCCUUCGGGUUGUAAACUUCUUUAGUCGGGGACGAAUGGAUGACGGUACCCGAAGAAUAAGCCACGGCUAACUACGUGCCAGCAGCCGCGGUAAUACGUAGGUGGCGAGCGUUGUCCGGAAUUACUGGGUGUAAAGGGCGUGUAGGCGGGUUGUCAAGUCAGAUGUGAAAUUCCAGAGCUCAACUCUGGCGCUGCAUCUGAAACUGAUGAUCUUGAGUACUGGAGAGGGAAGCGGAAUUCCUAGUGUAGCGGUGAAAUGCGUAGAUAUUAGGAGGAACACCAGUGGCGAAGGCGGCUUUCUGGACAGUAACUGACGCUGAGGCGCGAAAGCGUGGGGAGCGAAC